rnacentral:rRNA from 1 species
CUAUACAUGACUCUGCUGCAUAUCAAUAAGCGGAGGAAAAGGUGGAAAUGAACUGUACGUACCUACGCUUAGGAUGUUGACGAGACUGUCGAUCUCAUCUAUACAUGACUCUGCGCAUAUCAAUAAGCGGAGGAAAAGAAACUAACAAGGAUUCCCUUAGUAACGGCGAGUGAAGCGGGAAGAGCUCAAAUUUGAAAUCUUCAAGGUUCUACCUUGACGAAUUGUAGUUUAUAGAAGUGUUUUCUGUUAGUAGAGUGGCAAAAGUUCUUUGGAAUAGGACAUCAUAGAGGGUGAGAAUCCCGUAUUUGACCAUUACUUUCCAGCUGUGUGAUACACUUUCAAAGAGUCGGAUUGUUUGGGAAUGCAGUCCAAAAUGGGUAGUAAAUUUCAUCUAAAGCUAAAUAUUGGCGAGAGACCGAUAGCGAACAAGUACCGUGAGGGAAGGAUGAAAAGAACUUUGAAAAGAGAGUUAAACAGUACGUGAAAUUGUCAAUAGGGAAGCGUUUGACACCAGUGUUGUUUAGUUGAAAAUCAAUUCAAUAAUUUUUGAUUUUGAGUAGUAUUGACUUCAUCAGCUUGCUGCUUUCUUUUCGGAAAUUAUUGAAUGCACUUUUCAGUUAACAAGUCAACAUCAAUUUCUUUUGUUGUAAAAGGGUAAGAGGAAGGUGGCUUACGCUUCGGCGUAAGUGUUUAUAGCCUUUUACCUCUGCAAUCGGAGAGAUUGAGGACAGCAGCGUAGACUCUUCGGGGUUAGAUACACUUGUGCUAAGCUAUAGCCUUGUAUAGACAACUUGUUGACUAUGCUCAGUCAUGUAGCUUACUCGCUUGUGCUAUUUUACCUACGCUUAGGAUGUUGACGAGACUGUCGAUCUC